rnacentral:rRNA from 1 species
GAUGAACGCUGGCGGCGUGCCUAAUACAUGCAAGUCGAGCGAAUGGAUUAAGAGCUUGCUCUUAUGAAGUUAGCGGCGGACGGGUGAGUAACACGUGGGUAACCUGCCCAUAAGACUGGGAUAACCCCGGGAAACCGGGGCUAAUACCGGAUAACAUUUUGAACCGCAUGGUUCGAAAUUGAAAGGCGGCUUCGGCUGUCACUUAUGGAUGGACCCGCGUCGCAUUAGCUAGUUGGUGAGGUAACGGCUCACCAAGGCAACGAUGCGUAGCCGACCUGAGAGGGUGAUCGGCCACACUGGGACUGAGACACGGCCCAGACUCCUACGGGAGGCAGCAGUAGGGAAUCUUCCGCAAUGGACGAAAGUCUGACGGAGCAACGCCGCGUGAGUGAUGAAGGCUUUCGGGUCGUAAAACUCUGUUGUUAGGGGAGAACAAGUGCUAGUUGAAUAAGCUGGCACCUUGACGGUACCUAACCAGAAAGCCACGGCUAACUACGUGCCAGCCGCCGCCGUAA